GAUGAACGCUGGCGGCGUGCCUAAUACAUGCAAGUCGAGCGCGAGCGUAAGGAGCUUGCUCCUUACAAUCGAGCGGCGGACGGGUGAGUAACACGUGGGCAACCUACCCUUUAGACUGGGAUAACUACCGGAAACGGUAGCUAAUACCGGAUAAGUUGGAUUACACAAGUAAUCUUAAUGAAAGGCGGAUUUAUCUGUCACUAAAGGAUGGGCCUGCGGUGCAUUAGCUAUUUGGUGGGGUAGUGGCUCACCAAGGCAACGAUGCAUAGCCGACCGGAGAGGGUGAUCGGCCACACUGGGACUGAGACACGGCCCAGACUCCUACGGGAGGCAGCAGUAGGGAAUCUUCCGCAAUGGACGCAAGUCUGACGGAGCAACGCCGCGUGAGUGAAGAAGGGUUUCGGCUCGUAAAACUCUGUUGUUAAGGAAGAACACUUUAGGUAGUAACUGGCCUAGAGAUGACGGUACUUAACCAGAAAGCCACAGCUAACUACGUGCCAGCCGCCGCGGUAA
rnacentral:rRNA from 1 species